rnacentral:rRNA from 1 species
UCGGGAAUUUUGGGCAAUGGGGGAAACCCUGACCCAGCAACGCCGCGUGAAGGAUGAAGUAUUUCGGUAUGUAAACUUCGAAAGAAUAGGAAGAAUAAAUGACGGUACUAUUUUAUAAGGUCCGGCUAACUACGUGCCAGCAGCCGCGGUAAUACGUAGGGACCAAGCGUUGUUCGGAUUUACUGGGCGUAAAGGGCGCGUAGGCGGCAUGACAAGUCACUUGUGAAAUCUCUGGGCUUAACCCAGAACGGCCAAGUGAUACUGUCGCGCUAGAGUGCAGAAGGGGCAAUCGGAAUUCUUGGUGUAGCGGUGAAAUGCGUAGAUAUCAAGAGGAACACCUGAGGUGAAGACGGGUUGCUGGGCUGACACUGACGCUGAGGCGCGAAAGCCAGGGGAGCAAACGGGAUUAGAUACCCAUGUAGUCCCUGAGCGGGC